CAACAUUAAAAAGGACGCAGGGAAAGUUUGGGGUGGAGAGAAGGGAAAUCUCGGAAGAGACCGGGGCUCUACGGGGAUCUUCAAUAAUAUUAUGUCCAACAACAAAGGCCCCGUCGCUGUGCCCACUGCGUCCUUCCUACUGGCUUUGGCACUGCCCUGCAUCUAUAAUCGGCUAGUUAGAUGAAGGAUACUUCAGCUCGGCCGGAGGGAGCCCCACUGCUUACUCUCUGGCUCUCAGCAACCCAUAGUGUCAUCUUAAAAUGUGAUCAGAAUCUGUUGUGAGAUCGGAUAUGUUUAUGUUUGUGUUACAGAUAUCUGUACUUCAUUACCGAGGUGUCAUUUAUAGACUAAUGCUCAUGUUGGUACAGUCACCAAUUCUCAGACUGAAAACAUUUAUGAGUAAUGUUAUAGCUUACAAAUUAUAUUAUCAGUAGAGAUAUCAAUAUAAUUUUUGUUAUCAGCGUA